rnacentral:misc_RNA from 1 species
GCAAACUUGGUCAUUUAGAGGAAGUAAAAGUCGUAACAAGGUCUCCGUUGGUGAACCAGCGGAGGGAUCAUUACCGAGUUUACAACUCCCAUAACCCAUUGCGAACCUACCUAUGUUGCUUCGGCGGUGCCGCCCUCUCCCCCAGCCCUCCGGGGCCGCGGGGCCGGGCGCCCGCCGGGGACCCCAAACCUCUGUAUUUACAUGUGGUACCAUCUGAGUGGCGAAAGCCGAAAAAAAACGAAUCAAAACUUUCAACAACGGAUCUCUUGGUUCUGGCAUCGAUGAAGAACGCAGC